AGGCCCGGAGAGAGAGGCAGGGUCUGAUCUGCAGCAUCUGUGGCAGCUGUUGAUCAGCCCUUGCCUGUCUCUUUCUCUCCG
rfam:Myotis lucifugus cont2.66296, whole genome shotgun sequence.